UACGUAGGGUGCAAGCGUUGUCCGGAAUUAUUGGGCGUAAAGAGCUCGUAGGCGGUCUGUCGCGUCUGCUGUGAAAACCUAGGGCUUAACUCUGGGCGUGCAGUGGGUACGGGCAGGCUAGAGUGCGGUAGGGGAGACUGGAAUUCCUGGUGUAGCGGUGGAAUGCGCAGAUAUCAGGAGGAACACCAAUGGCGAAGGCAGAUCUCUGGGCCGAUACUGACGCUGAGGAGCGAAAGCGUGGGGAGCGAACAGG
rnacentral:rRNA from 1 species